GGCGGGGUGCCGGAGCGGUCGAACGGGGCGGUCUUGAAAACCGUUGGGCGUGCAAGCGCCUCGUGGGUUCGAAUCCCACCCCCGCCG
rnacentral:tRNA from 1 species